UCCAGAUUUUCUCCUCUUCCUUCCCUCUUUCCAUUUCUCCAACCAAAAUCAUGAAAUUUAGCCAUUUAAUCCCCCAAAAACCCUAGAACCCGAAGCUAAAAUUGGGGCUUUUGUGAUUUCUUCUUUCCAAGCUCAAAUCAAGCUAGGCUAUGGGUUUGACAAGGAUUUGUGGUGAAGAAGGCCAUGGAGGAAGCUUAGGCCGUGAGUUUUGAAGAAGAAAGGGAAACACGAUCGUUAAGGAAGCUUAAGCGGAAAGCAUCAGAGUGUGGAAUACGCCGGCAUUUCCAGGUAGGGUGAGCUGUCCCUUCCUUGUUAGAGGCUUUUCGUUAUAUGUGGAAUGCUCUAGUAUAAUAUUAUGUUGCCUGCAAGUACGUUUUUGGUUGUUCAUUAGUCGAUGCCUCGUGAUACAUGUGUUUUCAGAACUGAUAAUUGCAAAUUGUGAAAACCGAGGCUAGACUUGCAUGUUGAGAUACUGUACCCUUGUAUGUGUGUACUUGUGACCUGAAAGUGAAUGGGACCUAGACGCGUAGAUUCCUAGGGAUCCCACGGUGUCGAUAACCGUGAACCUCCGGAGGGGGCCGUGCUCCUAUGUUUGUCGAGAAAAAGUGAGUAUAGACAGUGAACCAGUCAUAGGAGACUCAGGGCCAGGAAACGGACACUUUCGCUACUUGUAGUCGGAAGUACUACAGAGUAGUUGGCCGGUUCUCGUACUCAGGACGAACCAGGUCGGUCACGGAUUUAUUUUACUUUAGCCGGCAGGUAAGUAUCUCGGAGCUCCAAGUGUGUGAAGCAUACUGCACAUGUUUUAUGAAAGAAAACAAAUGUUUGUGGUUGCCACUUUUCUUAAAGCAUUUUUCGAUAAACGUGCACAAUAUUAUGUAGUAAAUAUUUUCAAGUAUAUUAUUUUUCAAACCUAGCAUGGUUGGGUCGGCCCCUACUGGGCAUGCGAGGACGAAAGCUCACCCCUACUAUAGUGUGCAGGUUUCGAGCAUGUGGUCGGGAAGCGUACAGGGGAGGCACAUGGCACGGCUUGGCGCAUUUCUCUUUAGUUUUAUCAAAAGAAGGUUUUGGUCCUUAAUCGGAUUUUGUAGUAGCUUGUUUAUUUACUUUUUAUUUAUUUCCUACUCGUUUACAAAAAUCCCGGGAGACCCGUAACCCUGGGGCGCGUCUCCCAUACUUGUCGUUACUUAGAGAUCUGUUUUAUUUUCCAAAUUGGGCUCCGAUCGCAAGCCCAAAACUCUUAGCCCAUUUCGAAUUCCGCUUUUGAAAAUGUGUUGUUUGGUUGCUAGAAUGACUUGUCCAAGAAAGUGUUUUGUAAACCAACAACCUAAACUCAAAAGGCCUUGCGGUUUCGGGUU